UGUUCUUCAGGUUGAAGGUAAAUGGGUUUAACUGCCUGUUCACUGAAGUCUUUUCUGGCUCUCACAACCUAAAAUUCUAAGACUUUUUUCAUGCACUACCUCCGUCUUAGUCCGUGUGGGCUGCUGUAGCAAAGUACCUCGGACGAAGCAGCUUAUACACAACAGUGAUGUAUUUCUUCCAAAGGCUGGGAACCUGGAUGAGGGGGCCAGCUUGGCCACGGGAGGAACCACUUCUGGAUGACACGCUGCUCACUGUAUUCACCUGGAGGGAGGGUGAUCCUCCUGUUCUUUAACAUCUAGAUGGAAUAAGUUCUGUAACGGUUGUCAUCUACAUGGUGGUACUUGAAAGGUAAUUACACAGAACUCCUACUACCUCAAAACAGCCCUAAAUACAACUGUCUGGCCUAGUGUUCUCCUGGUCAGGCACUUUCCCAAGACAGACAACCAGGCAUUGUUCUAACGCUACAGGAGAGUUUACAGACGGAUUCGCUGCCCCCACGGUGUUUAUAGUGCAGUGCGUGAAUACAAAUUUUUCUACUACAGAGAAGAAAUCAGACACGUCUAGAAGGGUGAGAUGUGGAGGAGAGGAGAGGUUACUUCCUAUGGUCAUGGGCCUAUGAGACACGAUGAAGUGCCAGGUUGCUUCAAGUCUUUAAUUCUUCCAAAAUGAGAAUGGCAUAAAAACUUCUGAAAUUGGUUGUCACAUCAAAAUCAGCUUGUUAACUUUUGAAAAGUGUUUUUAGCCAACUGCUGACAACACAGCCGACAAUGGACAGAAGUCCUAAUAGAGAAGAGUCUGCAUUGCGAUUAGUUCGGAGAUGAAGAUGUCCAUAGUGAGAGCCAUGCUGUAACCCUUUUGCGAUCCAAUCAAAAUAGACCCCCCCAAAAAAUCAUAUUAAGAAAUGAAAUACUGAUACAAUAAUGGAGAGAUGUCGGAAAAUUCCAAGAUAAAACAAGAGUCCACAUGCACUGCAACGGUCUCAAUUCAGCAGUGGUAGUUCUUCAUAGUCAUGUUUUGACUACAGUCAUAUUUUGAAUAAAGUAUCUCCGCAGAAAGAUUUACCAAAUUGUACACACAACAGGGGAAAACAACAUUGGGAAUCUAGCAAUGGCCUGGCAAACUGUGACAGAUAAUAGAGAUGAUUCAUUGUUAUUCUCAGUUUCAACACGGUGUUUGCGUUUUUGAAAUAGCCUUGAAUAAAACAAAAGAGCUACAGGUGACAAGCAAGACACAACGCUGUAUUAAGGGAGCAGUUUCAAGUUCUCAGUGACACAUUUUAUCCUGUGUGUUCAAUCCUUCUCUCCUACAUCUGCCCCAUCCCAGUGGCUGUUGCAAGAAUGUUCAUUUAACUUUUAUGAUGGGUGUGAUUGCCGCAGCGUGGAGUGCUAUCCAUUUCUAUGGUGAUCAAAAUGCCAAAAGCUGUGGUUUGGGGGACAGCAAACAGUGACUGGAACAGAGUCAUUUCAAAGGUGGUAGUUAUUUCCAACAGACUUUAAAGUGCACAUACUAAAUUAAGAAUAUGAACUCAGAAAUUAAUCUUUACCGGAGAUGAUCCUAUUUCAAAGACAGGUUUUCCUGAUGUCCUUAAUUUCAUAAGAACAUCUCCCACAUGAUCCAAAUGAGGGAACUUAGGUCCCAGGCCACACAAGUGUCCCUCGUAGCUUUUAAGAAAAGGCAAUCAGUACACCAUUUAUCUUGAUUUGCAAUGAACAUGUAGCUCGUCACCUGAAGCAAAACUACAAACAAAAGCUCUACAUAAAGUGAGAAAAAUACGUGACCUAAAUUAGUGCAUGCAGAUUAGAAGACUGAAAAUAAGUAGAACUUACUGAAGGUAAGGACAUUAAAGGAAUGAAAUUUAGGUAAGAAUCUGUACAACAGGCAAAAUCACCUCUAUCUCUAAAACACCAGGAGCUGUCUGCCCUUACUACCGUGGAUAGCUUCUCCCUUUCUUUGAACCAAAUUCCUUGUCUGUUUCCAAAUAUGAUUUAAACAACAUAAUUCACUCUACACUUUAUUCGUUUCUUUCUGGUAUGAAGGGGAGGGAAGAACAUGUGCACGCUUUCUCAAUCAUAAUCGUAUUAUGCAGAAGGAUUUCCAGCUGCAUGGGCCAUUCACAUGUGUAUGUGUGAAGCAUGAGUUUGAAUAAAACUCAUCUAAUAAAAUGAUGCUCAUCCCAAGGAGUUGAAACACAUCCCUGGGAUAAUCAUGGUGUUAUUAAAAUGUAUCUCAGAGAUAUGCUGGAAGUUGAGAUUUGAGUUUACGAUAUUUAAGAACUUAAUUGUCAUGGGAGGCAGAGAAAAACAUUUUUUUCCCUUUUUUUUGUGGGGGGGGAGGGACUGGCCCUUUUUGUGAUGCAAAUUGAUCAUCUUUUUAAAAACACAAUGCAGCAAGAACUAAAGGCAUACUACAUUGAGUGCUGAGUUUGAGAAGUUGAUGAGCACUGGGUGUUUGUUAUACGCAACUGAUGAAUUAUUGAACAUUACAUCUGAAACUAAUGAUGUACUAUAUGUUAGCUAAUCGAAUUUUUUUAAAAAAAGACAUACUGCACUGGCAAAAUCAAAGUUACCAUUGGAGUAAAGAUUCAACAUAUACUAUGACAAUCAAAUGCAGGAAAAAUGUUUUUAACCUUAUGUAUGUAUCACUUCCCCCACUGACUUCUGUGUUUGCCAAUAAAUAGUUGUAAUCAAGUGGAGGUCAACUGAGAGACUCCAGUUUGCAUAUUGUUGAAAUGACAGACUUGUUUCUGAAUAGGCCUUAUUGAAAAUAAUGAUUUAAAAAAACAUGGACAUGAGUACGUUAGAGACCUCAAAGCAGUGGAUGAAAUGAAAUUUAGGGUCAGUAUACAUGCUUGAAAGAUGGGUAAGACAUUUUUUUCCUCUGACAACGUGGACGGAGUGAAGAAGGGUUCAUUCAAGGGUGACAGUGUCAUUUGGAUCAAUUACACUUCAGCAUGACAUUAGAAGGCAGCAACUGUCCACCCACGGAACGAAUAUGAAGAAGCGUGUUUCACAAAGAGAAUUCACCACGGGCUUCACGCAUAUAUAGCAAGUGGCAACUUUUGCUAACACUGAGUUAGGAUGGACCAGAUCAAACAUAAUGAGCAGAAACAAAGCAAUUCCUACAGAAACUACAUAUCUUUCCAGGGACUAAAAAUAAAAUGUAAACAUACUGUCUGAUACAUGGCAUUCUAUUUGCACUUUUAUAAGACCAAGACUUUGUUGAUACAUGCUUGGAAAAAUAAUGAUGCAAGGUCUUCACACAUCAUUUCAGAAAAUAUUCCAUCAGGACACACCAGUCAAGGUGAAGCCAUGCUCUACGCCAAGCCAGUACACUUGACAAAGUGUCACACUUGCUGAAAAUAUAAAAAUAAACAUGGGUUGUGUGUAUCUAAACUCAUGGCAAAUCAAGGGAGGCUUAACGGCAGAACUUUUGCCACUCACACAGUAUAACCUCACGUAUUACCCUCAAUCUCUCUACAUUCAAUCACAUAUCUUGCCUUUAUUUUUGACAUGUUCAUACCUGAAAUUGCCACAUUCAGACUACAUCAGUCAUCUAAUGUAGAGCCUGUACAGUCAGCACAUUUUUAUAUCUUUAAGCUUUUCAAGAUGGGCUUGAUGACAUUUUUCUACAUAAUAGCUUCCUCAAUUAUGCACAAUACUGAUUUUGUAUUGCCUUUACCUACUCUACCAAUGUCUUACCUUCUCUCUGAGCAACUCCGUCUUUGAAAAUGUAUACCCUUACUUUCUUGCCUCCCUUCCUUGGUCUCUUCAGUUAAUAUAAAACAAGGAAGCAAACAAAUAACAAGCAAUCAAUAAAGCAAUCACACGGACCCAGAGUCCAAGCAAUUGCUGGCCUCAGAUAUAUUUUAUUGGAUACUUAUCCACCCAUAUACCACAAAUAACAACCCAAACAAGACUUGAAAAAGAAGGAAGAACAAAAUAAAUUAUUUUGAGCCCAAUGAUUAAUACUCAUAUGCUAACUCUGAUUUCUUUUAGACUCAUCUUCAAUACUGAGUUAGGGAACCAUAAUGAUUAUAUGAUACGUGUCAACUAUGUUUACAAAGUCACACAGAAAUACAUUUUACCUCCUCACAAAAACAUAAGUUUGUACCGGCAAUGCAACGAACUUCAGAAAAGAAGUUAACACAGAAAAACUUGACCACAUAUCAUCUCUACCUAUGAUUCAUGUUGAACAAAUAAAACAAAAAAGUCUUUUCUAGAAGUACAAGG